rnacentral:rRNA from 1 species
UACAGAGGGGGCAAGCGUUGUUCGGAAUUACUGGGCGUAAAGAGCUCGUAGGCGGCCACUCAAGUCGAAUGUGAAACCUCGAGGCUUAACCUCGAGCCUGCAUUCGAUACUGGGCGGCUAGAGUCUGGUAGGGGGAUCUGGAAUUCCUGGUGUAGCGGUGGAAUGCGCAGAUAUCAGGAGGAACACCGGUGGCGAAGGCGGGUCUCUGGGCCGAUACUGACGCUGAGGAGCGAAAGCGUGGGGAGCGAACAGG